rnacentral:rRNA from 1 species
CUCCUACGGGAGGCAGCAGUGGGGAAUAUUGGGCAAUGGGCGAAAGCCUGACCCAGCAACGCCGCGUGAGGGAAGAAGGUUUUCGGAUUGUAAACCUCUGUCCUAAGGGAAGAAGGAAGU